rnacentral:rRNA from 1 species
UCUGGUAGUUAUGGCGAGAAGGUCACACCCGUUCCCAUCCCGAACACGGUAGUUAAGCUUCUCUGCGCCAAUGGUAGUUGGGGGUUUC